rnacentral:rRNA from 1 species
UACGUAGGGGGCUAGCGUUGUCCGGAAUCAUUGGGCGUAAAGCGCGUGUAGGCGGUUCGGUAAGUCCGCUGUGAAAGUCGGGGGCUCAACCCUUGAAUGCCGGUGGAUACUGCAGGGCUAGAGUCCGGAAGAGGCGAGUGGAAUUCCUGGUGUAGCGGUGAAAUGGCGCAGAUAUCAGGAGGAACACCGAUGGCGAAGGCAGCUCGCUGGGACGGUACUGACGCUGAGGCGCGAAGCGUGGGGAGCAAACAGG